rnacentral:rRNA from 1 species
UACGUAGGGUGCAAGCGUUAAUCGGAAUUACUGGGCGUAAAGCGUGCGCAGGCGGUUGUGCAAGACAGAUGUGAAAUCCCCGGGCUCAACCUGGGAAUUGCAUUUGUGACUGCACGGCUAGAGUGUGUCAGAGGGGGGUAGAAUUCCACGUGUGAGCAGUGAAAUGCGUAGAGAUAUGGAGGAAUACCGAUGGCGAAGGCAGCCCCCUGGGAUAACACUGACGCUCAUGCACGAAAGCGUGGGGAGCAAACAGG